AUCACAACAACACAGAAGGAAACAGCAUGGUGGCGGUAAACAGUAGAACAGGGAAGUACUGCUGUUCCAAUUGAAGAGAUCAUACAUGUACUCUCGUACUUGGCGAGUAUGUACUCCAGUCGUACUUCCCAAGUGACUCAGUUUUGGGAGCACACAUUUCAGUGUAGAUUUGCACCACCUCCAG